GGAAAAUUAGGGGCCUUUCACCUUGCCACCGCAAAACAAGUCUGCGGAAGAAGGUUCCCUUCGUGUGCCCAACAUCAGCGGCAGUCAGAUCCAGAAACGUCGCUAAAAACCCGCAAAGUGAGCUUGGUAGCGUGCAAAACACCACCAUCGCUGCUCUACCGUGCCUAACUGCUGCCAAUCCAUCCUCCUCUCUCCGGUGUCGAGCUUUUACCUCUCAUCCACAAUUCCUGAAAUCCAAACUCCCUCAUCCACGGUGUGCGAAAUCCCUAACCUCUGCUCCACUCUGCACCCUUGUGUGGAUUGUCGAGACGCGCAGCUGCCAUCCGUGCUUCUCUCACUGGCGUCCAAGUUUCUCAUCUCCUUGAUUGUGCGUGAAACCGUUACACCCUCCUCCACCGUGCACCAAUCUAAGCUAUCGCGGCCUCUCCCUUGUCACUGAUUAAUUUGAAACUGAAAGUGUGUAGAGGCUCUUCAACGAAGAAGGUUCUGGUGCAGGUAGCGACGUCAUUGGUCCUCUUUCUCCACUUCAGCUUUAGACAAGUAGAAGCAAUGUGCGCUCUGUUUUCAACGGCAGGGUGAAGAGCUGCCACCAGAUAUCGCUGCAAGGAUGAGUUCUGUGGAAUGAUAGAGUGAAAAAUAGUAUAUUAGGAUUGAAGAUAUUUUGGAUUGAAGCAAAUAUUUUUUGAAUUAAACUAUGCAACUCUUUGCAAGAGAUUUGUUUUCUUGAUAUUUUCAUGAAUAUAUUAUUUUAUUUUGU